UAGCAUUCAAAUUUCAAUACUUUUCAAGUGUGGCAGCGAUGAAGGUAUACAUAUUAUUGUUAGUUGCAAUUGUUGCAAUUAUUAUGAGCUCCAGUAGUAUGGCUGAACCUACAGCCGAUAAACCUGGGCAGGCUAAGAAAAUCGGCAUAUUUGACCAAAUAGAUGCAGCAUGGAAUUGGUUAAUGAAAAAAAUGGAGGGCUAACUGCAUCAUAAUUAAAUAAUAACAGAAUUUAUGUCACACUAUAUUCAAUAAGUUUAUCAGCUAAUAAACAUUCUGUAAUAAUAUUACUUACUAUGUAAAAAAAUUACAUAUAAUUUUCAAAAA